GUAUGCAUCAUAUUUUCUUGCAUUUUACAUAACCCUUUUUAAAUAUAUUUUUGGUUAAAUGAAUUAUUUUAUUAUUAAAGAUUUAUGAGGAGUUAUUAAGAAGAUUAAAACCACAAAAGAUCAAGUAAAUAACUUAUCUACUGGAGAACGUGUAAUUGUGCACUUUGAUGACCAAGGUGCUGCAUAUGGCGAAGCACAAGGCUUGCUUGCUGGAUAUUGUGGAAUAUUAGAAAUUGAUGGUAACUUGUUUCCAAUAAGUUUUGAUAGAUGGUUUGGACCACCACCAUCAGGCAUGCCAAAAUGUUAUUUUGAAGAUUGCUCUAAAACAGACAUAAAGCCUCAAUUUUGUUUUAGGACUACUGAAGCUCUUGCAGAGCGAUAUUGUCGGCUCAGCAUUGGGAAAAAGUGGGCUUCCCAUAGGCAAAGAUUAUGGGAUGAAUUCUAUAAUCCAGCCUUAGCAAGAGAUGAAAUUGUAUCUAAUGUACCACUCGGUGUAGAUAAAACUCAAUGGGCUUUAUUUGUCAACUAUCAUCUAAAACCAUCUACGAAGAAAUAAGGAAAUACGUAGUAAGCAAAUGGUUCCUCAUACCGGUGGUUCUAAACCACUCUCACGAAAAAGACAUGAAAUGGAAUAAAUUGAAGUGGGUUUGACUCAAAGCACUAAUGAUGAAUCUAUAGUUUCUCCUAAUGAUGUUAUUGCUAAAAUUUUGGGGCCUGAGCAUCCUGGAAGAGUGCGAUGUUUAGGUAUGGGAGCAACACCUAGUUAUACAUUUAGAAAUACCAGAUUUCGACUUUCAGACUCAGGUACUUCAUAUGGUAUUUCUACAUCACCAUCUAAAUUUUGGCAAGAGAAGUACACACAUUUGGAAUCUUGUCUUAAGAAUAUCACAGGAGCAUUUAAAGCUUAUAUAAUAAUGAAAGAAGGAAGGAUCCCUAAUGAGUUAGUUGGUGUCUUUGGUCCAUCAAAUGUGAGUAUUUUAUAUAAACUUUACGUUGAAUACUAAACUAUUAUGUUUUGUUGAAAUAACUAAUUUUUCUAAAUAAUAAUUUUAGAUUUUGUAUCUUAUUACAUUGAAGUAGUUGUAAUUUGGGAGUAUAUUUAUAUAUCUAUUAUGCAUUUGCAAAGAAAAUUAGUUGCAAUUUAAAAUAUUUUAACCAAGUUUUUUUCAGCCAGCCAAUGUCGCAGGUGAGUCAGAUUUAUCAAAGAAUGUAACGGAACCUAAUUCACCAAUGGAUGCAAGUGAGUCUGAUUUACCAAUAGAUGCAAGAGAAACGUCUGGUGCUAGCAACAUUAGGAUGUGGCGACAUUACUUGUAUGGAGUGUGUUUUGAGAUGUUCAGCGAUCACAAGAGUUUGAAAUACUUAUUUGACCAGAAAGAGUUAAAUAUGAGACAGAGGAGAUGGAUGGAGUAUUUGAAGGACUUUGAUUUUGAGCUUAAGUAUCACCCGGUGAAAGUGAAUAAGGUUGCAGAUGCCUUAAGUCGGAAAGAGAUGCAUAAAGCUGAGUUGAUGAUGUAAGAAUACGAAUUAUUGGAAAAGUUCCGAGAUCUUAAUCUUCAGUUUAGUUGGACGCAAGAUGGUGUGAUAAUGGGAAAUUUGAAUGUUACUUCUAACCUAAGGGAAUAAACCCGACAAGGACAAAUGAUAGAUGGGCAGUUGCAAGAGAUGUCGACUCAACCAGGUUUUGCUCGGUCACCGGAUGGACUUAUUCUAUUUAAUCAAAGGAUUUGUGUUCUGAAUGAUGCCGAGUUGAAAAGAAAAGUUCUAGAGGAGGGCCACAAGGGGGCAUUUACCAUACAUACAAGUUCUUCAAAGAUGUAUCAAAACUUGAAGAGGGACUACCGGUGGCCUGGAAUGAAGAGGGAUAUUGCAGAGUAUGUGUCGGAAUGCAUAGUAUUCUAGCAAGUAAAGAUCGACCAUCAGAAGCCAGGUGAUUUAUUGCAACCUUUAGAGAUUCCAGUUUGGAAAUGAGAUAGUAUUUCAAUGGAUUUUGCAGUAGGGUUACCUCGUGCCCAAGGUGGUUAUGAUUCAAUUUGGGUGAUUGUGGAUCGGUUAACUAAGUCCGCGCACUUCUUGGCCGUGAAGACUACUUACAUGACAAGUCAUCUUGCAUGGUUGUUCAUUUCAGGAAUCGUGAGACCGCAUGGUGUUCCAACUAGUAUUGUGUCCAAUAUAGACCCAAAGUUUAGUUCAAGAUUUUGGAAGGCAUUCCAACAAGCUAUGGGAUCGAAGUUGUGUUUGAGUACGUCUAAUCAUCCCCAAACGGAUGGUCAGACUGAACGGACGAUACAGACACUGAAAGAUAUGUUAAGAGCUUGUGUACUUGAAAGUGGAUAGAAUUGGAAGGAGCUCUUACCAUUGAUUGACGUCGCAUAUAACAAUAGUUAUCAUGCAAGUGUAGGGAUGACUCCUUAUGAAGCCUUGUAUGGACGGAAAUGUAGAACACCUCUAUG